ensembl:misc_RNA 7SK 7SK RNA
GGAUGUGAGGGCGAUCUGGCUGCGACAUCUGUCACCCCAUUGGUCGCCAGGGUCGAUGCGGCUGAUCUGGCUGGCUAAGCGGGGGUCCCCUUCCUCCCUCACCGCUCCAUGUGAGUCCCUCCCGAAGCUGCGCGCUGGGUCGGAGGACGACCUUCCCGGAUAGAGGACGACCGUUCUUCGGUCAAGGGUAUACGAGUAGCUGCGCUCCCUGCUAGACCCUCCAAACAAGCUCUCUAGGUCCUUUUUGUGAAAGAAUAGUAGUGUUAAGAGAACUUUCUUUUUUCCUGUGAAAAGUGAAUAUAAAA